UGCUCCAUUCCUUGAUCCAUUCCCUGAUCCAUUCCCUGAUCCAUUCCCUGAUCCAUUCCCUGAUCCCUGAUCCUUUCCCAUUCCCUGCUCCAUUCCCUGUUCCUGCUCCAUUCCCAUCUCAAUUCCCUGUUCCUGUUCCAUUCCCUGUUAUUCUCCCAAUUCCCUGCUCCAUUCCCAGCUCCUUUCCCUGCUCCGGCUCCUCCUGCUCCUCUCCCCGCUCCUCUCCUCACUCCAUUCCCAGCUCCAUUCCCUGCUCCAUUCCCUAUUCCUGUUCCAUUCCCUAUUCCUCUCCCUGCUCCUGCUCCUUUCCCAUCUCCAUUCCCUGAUCCCACUCUAUUCCCUGCUCCAUUCCUUGCUCGUUUCCCUGUUCCAUUCCCUAUUCCUGCUCCUUUCCCUUUUCCCAUCUCCUUUCCCAUCUCCUUUCCCAUCUCCAUUCCCUGCUCCAUUCCCUGUUCCUGCUCCAUUCCCAUCUCCAUUCCCUGCUCCAUUCCCUGCUCCAUUCCCUGUUCCUGCUCCAUUCCUUAUUCGUGUUCCAUUCCCUUUCCCUGCUCCAUUCCCUGUUCCUCUCCCUAAUCCCACUCCAUUCCCUGAUCCGGCUCCUCCUGCUCCUCUCCCUGCUCCUUUCCUCACUUUCCUCACUCCAUUCCCUGCUCCAUUCCCUGCUCCUGCUCCAUUCCCAGCUCCUUUCCCUAUUUCUGUUCCAUUCCCUGUUCCUCUCCCUGUUUCCAGCUCCAUUCCCUGAUCCUUUCCCUUUCCUUGAUGCAUUCCCUCUUCCCACUCCAUUCCCUGCUCCUCUCCUCACUUUCCUCACUCCAUUCCCUGCUCCAUUCCCAGCUCCAUUGCCUGCUCCAUUCCCAGCUCCAUUCCCUGCUCCAUUCCCUAUUCCUCUCCUGCUCCUGCUCCUUUUCCAUCUCCAUUCCUUGAUGCUGCUCCUUUCCCUGCUCCAUUCCCUAUUCCUGCUCCUUUCCCUUUUCCCACUGCUUUCCCAUCUCCAUUCCCUGCUCCAUUCCCUGCUCCAUUCCCUGUUCCUCUCCCUGAUCCCGCUCCAUUCCCUGCUCGCUCCUCCUGCUCCUCUCCUCACUUUCCUCACUCCUUUCCCUGCUCCAUUCCCUGUUCCUGCUCCAUUUCCAGCUCCUUUCCCUACUCCAUUCCCUAUUCCUGCUCCAUUCCCUGUUCCUCUCCCUAUUCCCAGCUCCAUUCUCAGCUCCUUUCCUUGCUCCAGCUCCUCCUGCUCCUCUCCCCGCUCCUCUCCUCACUCCAUUCCCAGCUCCAUUCCCUGCUCCUUUCCCUGAUUCCGCUCCUUUCCCUGCUCCAUUCCCUAUUCCUGCUCCAUUCCCUCCUCCUUUCCCUGCUCCUUUCCCUAUUCCUCCUCCUUUCCCUUUCCCUGCUCCAUUCCCUGUUCCUGCUCCAUUCCCUAUUCGUGC
rnacentral:lncRNA from 1 species